GGCGGUGUAGCUCAGUUGGUCAGAGCAUCCGGCUCAUACCCGGAGCGCCGGGGUUCGAAUCCCUGCACCGCCACCA
rnacentral:tRNA from 2 species